rnacentral:rRNA from 1 species
UAGGGAAUCUUCCGCAAUGGACGCAAGUCUGACGGAGCAACGCCGCGUGAGUGAAGAAGGAUUUCGGUUCGUAAAACUCUGUUGUUAGAGAAGAACAGCGCAUAGAGUAACUGUUAUGCGUGUGACGGUAUCUAACCAGAAAGCCACGGCUAACUACGUGCCAGCAGCCGCGGUAAUACGUAGGUGGCAAGCGUUGUCCGGAUUUAUUGGGCGUAAAGCGAGCGCAGGCGGUCAAUUAAGUCUGAUGUGAAAGCCCCCGGCUCAACCGGGGAGGGUCAUUGGAAACUGGUUGACUAGAGUGCAGAAGAGGAGAGUGGAAUUCCAUGUGUAGCGGUGAAAUGCGUAGAUAUAUGGAGGAACACCAGUGGCGAAGGCGACUCUCUGGUCUGUAACUGACGCUGAGGUUCGAAAGCGUGGGUAGCAAACAGG